rnacentral:lncRNA from 1 species
CCUUUAUGGAUCUUGCAUUCCAGCAAAUGUAAAAUAUCGUAUAUUUGUGUAUAUCUUAAAUAUUUCAUUAAAAUAUUUUAAUUUUUAAUGAGUGAAACUUAAAUUUUAAGAUAGUAAAGAGGGUUCUCUUCAGGAAAUCCCAAAGCAAUAAGGAGAUGGAAAAGCUCUUUGUCCAAGGAAACUGGGAGACCUUCAAAACUAACUACAAAACAUAACUUUCAAAAGUUUAAAAACAGGCAGUAGGAAGCGAUUUGGACGGAAAUUUCUCUUAAUGUCUCCCCGCUUCCACCUCCCCCACCCCCACAAGCGGAGUGAGAACCUGGUGUUAAAUUAUCUGAAGUGACUUCAUGAAGGAGUGCAAAGAGCUGUUAGAUCUUAAGUAGUCAAUCCGCCUUCUGAUUGGAAAAGGUACAUUUAGGUGCUGAAUGAUUAAGUAGAACGUGGUGAGCCCCAUCUCCCUUUCCCUAGAUACUCACACAGUACACUGAAAAAGGAAAUGCAAGAAGCCCCUCCUCCAGGGCGGAGCCUUCACAUCCUCACCUCCAGAGGGGCGGUAGGAGGACUUGAGGCUAUUUUAGGUGAGCGUGCGCCCAAGCAGCCCUGGAGAGCAAGUGAAGGAGCAAGCUUGGCGAGGAAGCUGUAAACGGAAAAGGACGGGGGUGUGCGCACCUGCUGCACCUCCUCAAGUAGCUGGACAACCCCGAACUGCCCAAACACCCUCCCAGCGAGCCUCGCUACCUGCCCGAAGGCGCCUGCGCGCUCAGAACCCCACCCUCGGAGUCACCUGUUGGAGCGCCGCGCCCUCUUCGCCUUGCGCAUGCGUGAUACGCGCCGCACGGGCCGUGGAGUCACGUGUCAGGGCGCGAGCCGUCUCCCCGGGGGCUCUUCCUGUCACGGCUGCCUCGGCGGCCCUGGGGCCGCGAGAGGCCUGGGCGGUGCCGGGCGGGAGGAGGCCCGGGUUGGUUUCGGAUCCGCUGCGAGCUAGAGGGAGGUUUCUGAAUCGCCGACCUGACCCCGUCACGUCCAUUGCGCUCAGAAUCGGGCCCAAACUCCUCUAGGCGGAAAGGUGUUUCUGUUGUGCCCCUUGCUCACCGUUUCAUCCUCGCGUGUGCCGUUUCUUGUCUCACACUCUCGGCCCCAGUAAUCCCAGUUUAAUUUCCUUGUGCAGUUCUGCUCAUCGCCUCAGAACCAUUAUCAGGUUGUUCCCUCUGUUUGGAAUCCUAUUCCCUGUCCUUCCCCCCAACUUCUUCAUGACUCAGCAUGGGCAUCACCUUCUCCAGAAACCUACUGUCUGC